ensembl:lncRNA
CUAGUUCUGUAGCCUGACGGAGUUUACAGAGGGGGAAAAAGGUAGCCUAGUGUUGGCCACUCAUUUUGGAAUAGUGGAUUUUCGUCCGUUUGACACCAGUGAUGCCCUUCAAAGAUGACAAAGCACUUGAUGCGAGAAAGAUAAGACAUUUUUUUUAAAGAAGCAACAUUCUGAAGAGACAGUGUAGGGAUGCUUGAGCGUUGUCACAGCGACACAUCUUGCUAGGACAAUGUGCACGCGCCCCGCCGGGAGAGAGGAGGGAGCGUGAGCGAGCGAAAGGGGCAAUCGCACAAGCGCAGCAUAUUUUAAGUCUAUACCAGUCGGAGGAGAAUCACGGAAACCGUGGAACGCUGUUACCCAGCGACGAAGCAGGCAAGCACCACCAAAUCGUCCAAGGAAUGGUGUGACAACGGUGUAGAAGUCAAAGACGAGGGCAAAAUCAAAGGAUUCCUUUUGAAAAACCCUUGGAAUCCUGCGAUCCCCUUGGAACACAUAACAGUGUCCUGAGAGUGUGAAGAGUCUGCUACUGUACCAUGGACGGAUGGCAGGAGGCUGACUCAGACUGUUGGCUAGACUGGCCAGUUUCUACUCAACCAACAGACCUUCCGCUCGUCUCCACCAAAACAUGGCGCGUCAUCUGUCC